UAUUUUGGCAGAUUAGUGUAUUUGAUUUAGAAUCAUUUUAAGUAAAAUUUUAUUACAAGUAAUAN
rnacentral:tRNA from 1 species